UACGUAGGGGGCAAGCGUUAUCCGGAUUUACUGGGUGUAAAGGGAGCGUAGACGGCAGUGCAAGUCUGAAGUGAAAGGCGGGGGCCCAACCCCCGGACUGCUCUGGAAACUAUGUUACUAGAGUGCAGGAGAGGUAAGCGGAAUUCCUAGUGUAGCGGUGAAAUGCGUAGAUAUUAGGAGGAACACCAGUGGCGAAGGCGGCUUACUGGACUGUAACUGACGUUGAGGCUCGAAAGCGUGGGGAGCAAACAGG
rnacentral:rRNA from 1 species